GAUGAACGCUGGCGGCGUGCUUAACACAUGCAAGUCGAGCGAAGCAAUUCAAAUGAAGUUUUCGGAUGGAUUUUGAGUUGACUUAGCGGCGGACGGGUGAGUAACGCGUGGGUAACCUGCCUCAUACAGGGGGAUAACAGUUGGAAACGACUGCUAAUACCGCAUAAGCACACAGUAUCGCAUGGUACAGUGUGAAAAACUCCGGUGGUAUGAGAUGGACCCUCGUCUGAUUAGGUAGUUGGUGAGGUAAUGGCCCACUAAGCCGACGAUCAGUAGCCUGCCUGAGAGGGUGACCGUCCACAUUGGGACUGAGACACGGCCCAAACUCCUACGGGAGGAAGCAGUGGGGAAUAUUGGAAAAUGGGGGAAACCCUGAUCCAGCGACGCCGCGUGAGUGAAGAAGUAUUUCGGUAUGUAAAGCUCUAUAAGCAGGGAAGAAAAUGACGGUACCUGACUAAGAAGCCCCGGCUAACUACGUGCCAGCAGCCGCCGUAAGAC
rnacentral:rRNA from 1 species